rnacentral:rRNA from 14 species
CUAGCUGGUCUGAUAGGAUGAUCAGCCACACUGGAACUGAGACACGGUCCAGACUCCUACGGGAGGCAGCAGUGGGGAAUAUUGGACAAUGGGCGAAAGCCUGAUCCAGCAAUUCCGCGUGUGUGAAGAAGGCCUUAGGGUUGUAAAGCACUUUAAUCAGGGAAGAAAAAGCUUUGGCUAAUAUCCAAAGCCUUGACGGUACCUGAAGAAUAAGCACCGGCAAACUCUGUGCCAGCAGCCGCGGUAAUACAGAGGGUGCGAGCGUUAAUCGGAUUUACUGGGCGUAAAGCGUGCGUAGGAGGCUUGUUAAGUCGGUUGUGAAAUCCCCGGGCUCAACCUGGGAACUGCAGUCGAUACUGGCAAGCUAGAGUUCGGUAGAGGGUGGUGGAAUUUCCGGUGUAGCGGUGAAAUGCGUAGAGAUCGGAAGGAACACCAAUGGCGAAGGCAACCACCUGGGCCUGAACUGACUCUGAGGCACGAAAGCGUGGGGAGCAAACAGGAUUAGAUACCCUGGUAGUCCACGCUGUAAACGAUGUCUACUAGCCGUCGGGGUCCUUAGUGACUUUGGUGGCGCAGCUAACGCGAUAAGUAGACCGCCUGGGGAGUACGGCCGCAAGGUUAAAACUCAAAUGAAUUGACGGGGGCCCGCACAAGCGGUGGAGCAUGUGGUUUAAUUCGAUGCAACGCGAAGAACCUUACCUACACUUGACAUGCAGAGAACUUUCCAGAGAUGGAUUGGUGCCUUCGGGAACUCUGACACAGGUGCUGCAUGGCUGUCGUCAGCUCGUGUCGUG